UACAGAGGUCCCAAGCGUUGUUCGGAUUCAUUGGGCGUAAAGGGUGCGUAGGCGGGUCUUUAAGUCAGGGGUGAAAUCCUGGAGCUCAACUCCAGAACUGCCUUUGAUACUGAAGAUCUUGAGUUCGGGAGAGGUGAGUGGAACUGCGAGUGUAGAGGUGAAAUUCGUAGAUAUUCGCAAGAACACCAGUGGCGAAGGCGGCUCACUGGCCCGGUACUGACGCUGAGGUGCGAAAGCGUGGGGAGCAAACAGGG
rnacentral:rRNA from 1 species